UACGUAGGUGGCAAGCGUUGUCCGGAUUUACUGGGCGUAAAGAGCGCGCAGGCGGUCGUUCAAGUCGCGUGUGAAAGCCCCGGCUCAACUGGGGAGGGUCACGCGAUACUGAUCGACUCGAAGGCAGGAGAGGGUAGUGGAAUUCCCGGUGUAGUGGUGAAAUGCGUAGAUAUCGGGAGGAACACCAGUGGCGAAGGCGGACUACCUGGCCUGUUCUUGACGCUGACGGCGCGAA
rnacentral:rRNA from 1 species